rnacentral:rRNA from 1 species
UGGACAGAAAGACCCUAUGAACCUUUACUGUAAUCUGAUAUUGUUGUCCGGUCGCCGGUGUGUAGCAUAGGUGGGAGACGUUGAAAAUAAGUCGUCAGGCUUAUUGGAGUCGCAGGUGAAAUACCACCCUCCGACGUCUGGGCAUCUAACCGUACGUCCGUGAAUCCGGAUACGGGACAGUUUCAGAGGGUCAGUUUGACUGGGGCGGUUUCCUCCCAAAAAGUAACGGAGGAGCUCGAAGGUCUACUCAGCACGGACGGCAACCGUGCGCAGAGCGUAAGGGUAUAAGUAGGCUUUACUGUAAGACUGACAGGUCGAGCAGUUACGAAAGUAGGACCUAGUGAUCCAGCGGCGGAAAGUGGUGUCGCCGUUGCUCAUCGGAUAAAAGGUACUCUAGGGAUAACAGGCU